AAAAUUCAUGUAACAAAAUUAUUAUUAGGUUAAAAUUCUAUAAACAUUGGCAGAAUUUUAUGAUGGGAAGAAGUUGAUAUUUCAUCUAAGACUUUCUCUUUUUAUGGCCAUCCUUCGUCUCUAUUUUACCCUCUCUGGCACCGGUUCUCACACCGGAAGUUGUGAGAGGGUCAAUCUUUCCUUUUUUUUUUUUCUUUUCUUUGUUUGGUCAUCCACGAACUUAAAAGAUCCACGGUGGCUCGAGCAGUGUUGGCGUAGCGAAGAGGCGGCAGAAGUUUCUCGGUGAUAAAGCACGACGUAAGGGUUGGGUUUGGCUAUAUAUUGGAAGCACCGAUUUCCUUUUUUCAUCUUGCAUCUCACUUUUGAGAAUGGCGGCAGAGCUAGGGUUAGGGUUUUAGUUACAAUGGAGGCGAUCCGGUUAGUGGGGUGCGGUCUAGAUCUAUUUUGCUCUUUGCAACUUUGCACUUCUUCUAUUUCUUUUCCUGUUUUGGCCUAACAUGUUGCUUAGAUCCGUUUGUCUCUUCGUUUCUUUGUGGCGGAGGUCUCGACUCCGCUUUUCUAUUCCGGUACUCUUGUCUCCGGUGGAAAUAGCAUCUUUGUUCGGUUUUGCUCUUGAGAUUUCUGGUGGCAGCGAUCUCAGCGGACAUGGCUUCUCUUCGGUGCGGCUCUGAUGGACUUGUUGGUGGCGGUUUUCUAUUUCGCCUCUUUGUUUUCUUGGGUUAGGUUAAAGACUAUUCCUGGUCUGGGUGGACCGGAUUAGAAUGUGGUUUGAUUGUUUUUCGGUUUACUUUAUUUUCUUCAUGUUAUUUUUUAUGUUUGUCAGCUGUUUCUUUAUCUUGAAAAGAAAAACAAACUUUUUUAAUAUGAAUUUUUUUUUUU